UGGGGAAUCUUGGACAAUGGGGGCAACCCUGAUCCAGCGACGCCGCGUGGGUGAUGAAGGCCUUCGGGUUGUAAAGCCCUUUCACCGGGGACGAUGAUGACGGUACCCGGAGAAGAAGCACCGGCUAACUCCGUGCCAGCAGCCGCGGUAAGACGGAGGGUGCUAGCGUUGUUCGGAAUCACUGGGCGUAAAGGGCGCGUAGGCGGCGGGUCAAGUCGGCUUUGUGAAAGCCCGGGGCUCAACCCCGGAGGUGCGGCCGAGACUGAUCCGCUGGAGGCCGGAAGAGGAGGGUGGAAUACCCAGUGUAGAGGUGAAAUUCGUAGAUAUUGGGUGGAACACCGGUGGCGAAAGCGGCUCUCUGGUCCGGACCUGACGCUGAGGCGCGAAAGCGCGGGGAGCAA
rnacentral:rRNA from 1 species